UACGUAGGGGGCAAGCGUUGUCCGGAAUCAUUGGGCGUAAAGCGCGUGUAGGCGGCUAGGUAAGUCUGCUCUGAAAGCCCGGGGCUCAACCCCGGGAGGCGGGUGGAUACUGUCUAGCUCGAGUCCGGAAGAGGAGUGUGGAAUUCCUGGUGUAGCGGUGAAAUGCGUAGAUAUCGGGAGGAACACCAGUGGCGAAGGCGACUUCCUGGCCUGUUCUUGACGCUGAGGCGCGAAAGCUAGGGGAGCAAACGGG
rnacentral:rRNA from 1 species